AAGUUUGAGCCCUUUCCUCCUUGGCAGGGGGUGAUGGAAGAAGCAUGGGUCUUGGACUUAGAUGGACCUGCUUUAGAAGCCUGGUCUUCCUGCUCAGUGCUGUGUGGCCUUGGGCAGAAUUGCUUAACUCUUCUGAGCUUAAGUUUCCUCAUCUGUGGGUAGACACUGAUGACACUUCCCUGGCAUGAAUGUUGUGAGAAUUCGUGAUAUACAUAUCGGACACUGGCACAGGGUAGGAGGAACUUGACUGAUUUCACUGUUAUCACUUCCUUAAAGGUACAGCCCCUUUUCCACCAAUCAGAAAAGCUGACCCUGAUGUGGCAUCCUCAGUGGAUCUCGCCUUUUCCCCUAACACUGGUGCCUCUCCCUGCCCGUUCCUGUGUCAUUCCUUGAGCAAUGACAACUCAUAGGCUGACGAGUGUCAUCUCUUAUCCCUGCCUUUCUCUAACUAGACUCCCAUCAGAGCUGAGACUGGCCUUUAUACAAACUCUCUGUAACCUAUCUUAACCUAUCCUAACCAGGGACCCGCAAGAGUCACUGCCCGGCAAAUGACUGUUAACAGAGACUAAUUGGAGCCAUUUCACAAGUUUUUAUGGAAACUAUUCACCCAGUGUUGGCAAUGGGCCAGGCUCUGGGAACAGUGAGGUGAUUAAAACCCAGCCCCCACUACAGGAGCUCCUACUCUGGCUACAAGUUUCUGCAAAGGCCUGGAGCAGUUCAUGUUCCUUUCCAGGCAUCUAGCUCCCAGGGGCUGGCUUCCUUUGUUGAGACUGUCUGCUUCCCUGGGUCUACAGGCAAAGGCCAAGUCCACGGCCCAGAGCCAUGUCGCCCUGGAGAGUACACAGCUGGCAUUCAGUGCCCAAGGCCGGGAGGUCAUUCAGGCCCUCACAAGCUGUUUCUACCACUUGCUCCUUGAGACAAGCCCAGCAGCCCCUGCUCUCACAGGGGGAAGAGACGGUGAGUGCAGGAGCUGGCCCAUGCUGUCCUCACCACGAGGGGACAGCGCAGGACUGCGGGUAGCAGAGAACUCGGUCAGGGACAGGUCCCUCCUGACUCAUUCCAGCAGCGCAGUAUCUGAAUGAUUUGUUCUUGGGUGGAGUGGAUGAAAGGGGGAGGAUGGGUCGGAAAAAAUGAAACCAUCUGUUGAAUUCACAAGUUGCCACAAGUCAUGAGUUCAACCAAUGUUCAAAUGACUAAGUAUUUUUAGAGCAGAAAAAUAAGGUAAUUUGAGGGUUUCAGAAAGCAAGCACUGCCUGCAAACCCAAAUGAUAACUGAAGAAAUUCUCUACAUUAGCAAAAGUUUUACUCUUUCAUUUGCAGAAACAGCAUGACUUUUUUUUUUUUUUCCCCAGGAAAAGGAAGGCUUUCAGAAUUUAAGAGAAACAGAGUUUACCAACUCAGCCCUCUCUGAAACAGAAUAAAGAACCUUUCCUCUUAUCUGGGUUCAGAACUGGCAAGCAACCUUGGCGUGGGCACUUCAUAAAUAUUCAUGAAUAAUGCAAAUGCGAAGAUGCAAAGAGACCAUUUUGCCAUUUCCAGAAUCCUUCUGAAGUGCCUGUGAUUGAAGCAGGAUCUCCACUAUACUUUGCAGAUCUUGCACAAGAAAAAGCCCAGUUUGGCUGGUCACAUGGAAAGAAACAGAACAAGAGCAGUGGAUUAAUCUGUCCUGGAGUCUUGGGUGGUGACUGUACUUACAGGGAGCAGAGCAAACUGAAGUAGUGGUCCGUUGCCCCACAGCUGCCCAGACCUCUGUGGCAGACAGACAAAUGAGGCCACAGGGCCUGGCACAGUCAUGACUUGGCCUUCCUGUGGGGUGGAGGAAGAGGACAGGAAACUGGGACAAAGGCCAACGAUGAGUGCAGGCACACACAUAUGCAUAGCUGAGUGAUGUGAUCACUCCAUCUGUAAAUCCAACCAACAGGAAGAUCAGAUGCACCCACCUCACAUGCCGAGGGACUCCCUUCAGGCCCAAAGCAGAAAAGGACCCAGACGUGUCCUGGGUCAGUGUUUCUCCCCACCACCAGGCAGACUGUUCUCAUUGUGAGUUUUCAGAGUCCAGAGUGCUAACCAUUACGCAGUGGCACCUCCUUCUUCCUUCUCAAUCAGCAGGCCUAGGUCGUCCAACUCCAAGAAUGCCCGGGACGACCAGAAUGUCCUGGGAGAAGGGGUGCGGUGUGAAGCCAGAUUACCUGGGUGCAGGCUGUUCCCCUCUCUCCUGCAUGUGACCUCUGGAACGGAAAGCUGCUCAUCUGGAAAGAGGGACAGCUGCUGUGGUAGCAGUCGGUGAGAGCGUGUGCCUCAGAAGCAGGAGGCCUCUCCUAAAGCGUCAACAACACAGCAGUGACUGGUCACUUGUCAUGAACUUAAAUAAGCAGGAACUCUAAUUUCUCUCCAGGCCAAAACCUUGGGGGAUUUGUAAAGGUCUUAAAGGCUGAAGAGCAGUUCAGUGCUUUUGGUUUCUCACCUGUUCCUCCAUCCUGUCCCCAUCCUCUUGGGGGAAAGACGGGGCCCUUUGGGGGAAGCCUUAGCAAGUGACAAACAUCAGGCCUCAGCCAGGCUCCCUGCAGGCUCAGAGGAGCAGCCCGGGCGGGCAAGGGCGGCUGGGACACACUUCCCACCUGGGCCCAGGCUGCAUUAUACACUUCUCCUUUUGUGGGCCACUUCCUCCGUUAAAAUAUAUAAAUUUAAAAUUAUAUUUAAAAAUAAAAUUAUAUUUUAUGACUGCAUUGGUAUAAAAAUAGGUAUAAUCCAGGCUAAGUUCAUUAUUACAUAUUCAUGUGAUUUUUCUUGUGGUGGUAAUUGAAAUGAAAUGUAAGAGAAAUGAAUUACGGGGAGAGGUUUGGCCGCUCGGGGGCAGCACCAGCUCACUAGAUGCUCUCGGGAAAUCUGGGCGGUAGGUAGAUGGUGGGGAAAGACUGAGCCAGGACUCCUACCGCUGACUCACAAAAGGCUUGUGCUUCUCCCAGCGUUUCCUCGGAGAGGGCUGUGUUUGCGCCUCGCAUCAGCCCCACCCCGCCCCCAUCAGGCGGGCGGGCAGCGGACGAGAGGACAGGCUCACGCCGGGAGGAACAGGGUCCUGUAGGUCGGGGUCACCCAGGCAGAGGCGGGCCGACCAGACUGUCCUGGCUCUUCCUGCGGUGCUUCUCCCUCAGAGCCUCAGCCGAGCUGGAUCCUCCGAGCAGACCAGGGCAGGACCGGGCGGCCCGACCUACCCUUGACCAUGUGGGCAAUGCCGCGCAGCCCUUCCACAUCCUGGCAGAGGCCACCCCGCAUUCCAGGCCGGCCCACCCCCAGCCUCCCUGGGGCCGGGCAUGCCUUUGUUCACUCCGUCUGCGUGGCCCACCGCAGGCUGAGCCUGUAGGUGGAAGACACAUACAUCCCCUCCCUCCCUGGAGAACUGAGCGAUGUCAGAGGCACACGGGAGGCAUUCCCUGUGCGGAGGGUGAGGAGGCAGGCGCUCCGUCUGCGUGCAGUGCCUGGGCAAGGGGAGCAGCGUGGGAGGAAAGACCAGAAGAAAACAGCACAGAGCACCACCCGAUCCAUCGCGGAGGCGGCUUUCCUGCCUCCCAAGGGGACACCCCGCACGCUGCCUGGUGGCCUGCAGUGCACCCAGGAACAUCGGCCUCUCUCCCCUCAGCUCACCAGGGGGAAGGGCGCCUCAUGAGGAGACGGAGUCUGGGCGGGGCCUUAUGGGUCGCGAGUCCACACAGUGUCCCCCAGAAGUGAUGAGAAUGGUGCACAAGCCCGUGUGAGAAAUGAAAGGCAGGUUGUCCCUUUGCUGGAUGAGCAGAAAAAGAUUGUGCAUUUUUCAAGGGGAAUCGUGAGAUGCCAGUUGACUCUGACAUGGAUGUGGCAGAAAGCCACCCUGGUGGUUGGUACUUUCUGAGAGCAGCCUUGUGGUUCAAAGGAGCCAAGAGGGUUCUGGGAGCAAGUAGCUGUUGGCCAAGUGUGGCCAGGCCUGAGGCCAAGUCAUGGCAUUACACAGAGGCCUGGAC